GGGUUCGUGACAUCAGAGAUGGAUUGGUGCUUCGGGACUCUGAGACAGGUGCUGCAUGGCUGUCUUCAGCUCGUGUCGUGAGAUGUUGGGUUAAGUCCCGCAACGAGCGCAACCCUUGUCCUUAUUUACCAGCACUUUAUGGUGGGCACUCUAAGGAAACUGCCGGAAACAACCCGGAGAAAGGUGGGGAUGACGUCAAGUCGUCAUGGCCCUUACGGCCUGGGCUACACACGUGCUACAAUGGUCGGAACAAAGGGUUGCCAAGCCGCGAGGUGAAUCUAAUCCCAUAAAACCGAUCGUAUUCCGGAUCGCACUCUGCAACUCCACUGCGUGAAGUCGGAAUCGCUAGUAAUCGCAAAUCAAAAUGUCGCGGUGAAUACUUUCCCGGGUCUUGUACACACCGA
rnacentral:rRNA from 1 species